GGGCCGCUAGCUCAAUUGGUAGAGCAGCAGACUCUUAAUCUGCGGGUUCCAGGUUCGAUUCCUGGGCGGCUCACCA
rnacentral:tRNA from 1 species